UCGGGUUUCCGGCUCACGCAUGCAUGCACACACAUGCACACAUGUUCCGGUUUGGACAAUCGGUGCCAAAAAAGUUCACCAACACUGGUAUAGGCUCUUCUCUGGAGCAGGGGGUUGGACUAGAAGACCUUCAAGGUGCCUAAUAACUGUUAUUCUGUUGUAUACCAUUACAAUUUGCAAGCGAAGAAAAACCUAGCUUGCUUACAGGGUCAUCUCUCCCUGCUUGCAUCUAGAAUGUUCUCCCUCCAGAGAUCAGAUUGGCUCAAUCCUUGUUGGGCUUCCUUAAGGCCCUGAAGUCGUGGCUCUCCGAGCAGACCUGGGUCCCACGUGUGGGACAAAACCCAUUGCUCAGCUAUGUUGAAUGACAGAAGGACUGUUAUAGCAUCUCCAACGUCACGUGACCAAAAUUCAGAUGCUUGGCGAUUGACUCAUAUUGAUGAUGAUUGCAGUAUCCCCGGGUCUUGUGGUCUCCUUUUGUGACCUUCUGACAACCAAAAUCAAUGGGGAAACUCACUUAACAACUGUGGCAACAAAGCUUUUCCAGCUUGGCCAUAUCUGGACCUGAAAUUGGGAAGCAUCUGGUCAAACCUUACAGAAUGAUUCUCUCUAACCUUGAUGUCACGCACCUGGGAAAUCCAGAUAUUCAGUUGUCAUGGCCACUAUUUGCUGCUGUCAUCCCAGAGGGCCUUCUUCAGAGCAAGCCAGGUGCUGUGAAUCCAGAUCAACCGGUGAAGCAUCUAUGCAGCUCCCGUUGUAUUGCA